UCCACUCAGUUUGAUUAACUCAGUUUAUGUAGUAAUGUGUCAAAUGUGCGUCAGUGCGUCGGUCAUGCUUUUUAUUAAUCCCACGUUGUAUAGACCUUAUUUCUAGCAUGAAAAACUUUCAUUUACUGCUAAGAGGUUGAAACAUUCAGAUUCACUGGUCGUCCGGAAGGGUUCUGGGAAUUACUGCCGUUCGC